GACGAACGCUGGCGGCGUGCCUAACACAUGCAAGUCGAACGGAAAGGCCCUGCUUUUGUGGGGUGCUCGAGUGGCGAACGGGUGAGUAACACGUGAGUAACCUGCCCUUGACUUUGGGAUAACUUCAGGAAACUGGGGCUAAUACCGGAUAGGAGCUCCUGCUGCAUGGUGGGGGUUGGAAAGUUUCGGCGGUUGGGGAUGGACUCGCGGCUUAUCAGCUUGUUGGUGGGGUAGUGGCUUACCAAGGCUUUGACGGGUAGCCGGCCUGAGAGGGUGACCGGCCACAUUGGGACUGAGAUACGGCCCAGACUCCUACGGGAGGCAGCAGUGGGGAAUAUUGCACAAUGGGCGGAAGCCUGAUGCAGCAACGCCGCGUGCGGGAUGACGGCCUUCGGGUUGUAAACCGCUUUCGCCUGUGACGAAGCGUGAGUGGCGGUAAUGGGUAAAGAAGCACCGGCUAACUACGUG
rnacentral:rRNA from 1 species